AGAGAGAGAGAGAGAGAGAGACAGCUCUGAACAAACUCCUCAUUUUGGGAGCAAAGGAGUUUCCACUGAUGUUUAUUCCACUUUGAGAUGGGUUUUCUGUUAUUUGCAGUUAGGACUCCCAGCUGAUUGUGGUAGUUGUUUGGUUUUUUUUAAUGUUAUUUAAUUUAUUUAUUUGAUAUUUUGGGGGGGGAGGUAUUUAGGUUUAUUUAUUUAUUUUUAGAGGCGGUACUGGGGAUUGAACCCAGGACCUUAUGCAUGCUAAGCACGCUGUCUACCACUUGAGCUAUACCCUCCCCCCCUUGAUUGUGGUAGUUUAAAACUAUGUCCUUUGUUACUCCUCCCUUCAACAGGUGGCAUUUAAGUCCCCUUUCCUUGAGUGUGUGCUGGAUUAGUGACGUCCUUCUAGAAAAUAGAUUCAAGUGUGUGAUUCUAAGACAAGGUCAGAAAAGGCAUUGAUUUCCUCCUUGUUCUCCCCCACCCUCUCUCCUACUGCUCCAUCUCUGUCUCUGUCUCUGUCUCUCUUUCUCCGUUGGGUGGAUCACUUGCUCCAGGGAAGCCAGCUGCCAUGUCAGGAGGACACUCAAGCAGCCUAUGGAGGGCCCACAUGGUGAGGGACAGAGGCCUCCAGCCAACAGCCCCUGAGAAGUUGAAGCCUUUUCCCAACAAAAACAUGAAAGACUUGGAGGGCUGCAGCAGAAGCAGACGCCAUGACCUGUUGACGGCUGGGUGUGAGCUCAAAUGUCACUAAAGACCGCUAGCUCCUUGGGAGCAAGUCUCCAUUCAAACAAACCAGACAGAAACCUCUGCAUUGAGGAGAUGCUCCCCCACCGCCAGCGUUGACUGGAGUGAAGGCUACAGCGCUUAGAAGCGGCACCCUGAAUCAGCCAGCUGGGCUUCAUCCAGGGGAGCAGACAACAGAAUUUCUGAGAGGAAGCAGGGGAGCAAAUGGUGCUACAGCGUCAGGAUCGUCGCAGACCCCAGGUGCUGCAUUUUUUAAGGAGACCCCAGCACUGCCCCUGCCUGCCUCUCCACAGUUAUUAUUCUGGAGCUUGAGAGUAGACUUUCUACCUUAACUCCCAGAAGAUCUGCCGUCCCUGACCUUGGCCAUCACCUCAGGUCACAGGAGGAAGACUCUGAAAACCAGGAGGAGCUCUCACUGGGAACCUAAAUGGCAGACACGUUGACUUUGGACUUCCCAGCCUCCAGAACCACGAGAGAGGAACUUGUGGUUUAAGCCUCCCAGUCUGCCGUGCUUUGCUAUGGCAGCCCAAGCUGAUUAAAACAGUCACCUUCUGGCAGUCUUGGAGCAGGGGCUUUUCUGGCAGGAUUUACUUCCCCAGCAUUCUGGCCUGCCUAGCAAGUGGACGCAGCAGGCUUCUCCAGGCUUGGAGAAGAUUCUCAGUCAAAGACGCGCCACUACCAGCAGUUGGAAGUCCACCCGUGAACAAUGAAGGUAAAGCCAGAGGCACAUGGGUGAGAAUUACCAGCAUCUUCCAGGAGGAUGGAGGGAUGUGGAAGUCACGCUAUUUCAGGGAGGAUGUGGUGCUUCAGUUGAGCCUUAGAGACAUAGAAUGUCUACAGGUACAGGCAGGAAAAAGCCAUCCCAAUCACGGGAAUAGCUGGAGCACACACCGAGAAAAGGCGAAUUUCAGGAUGCUUUAGAUAACGAAUACAAUUGGUAUCGCUCUGUCUUAUUUGCUUUUCCCCCUUGACAUUAUUUCAUUCUUAUUUUUAUUGCUGCCUACUACUUCAUUGUGUUAGCUCUUUGCUUACUCAAUCCCCUAUAUUUAAAUUGUUUUUAAACUUUACG